rnacentral:snoRNA from 1 species
UCCAGAAGUAGCAGCCUAGGUUGCAUUGUACCUAGGCAAGUGUUACACUACUGGAAGAAAAGCAGCUAACAGAUGGUGGCCAUU